AACGUAGGUACCGAGCGUUAUCCGGAUUUACUGGGCGUAAAGCGCGCGCAGGCGGUCUUCCAAGUCAGUGGUGAAAGCCCGGAGCUCAACUCCGGAACUGCCAUUGAAACUGUAAGACUUGAGGAUGAGAGAGGUGAGUGGAAUUCCCAGUGUAGAGGUGAAAUUCGUAGAUAUUGGGAAGAACACCGGUGGCGAAGGCGGCUCACUGGCUCAUUACUGACGCUCAGGCGCGACAGCGUGGGGAUCAAACAGG
rnacentral:rRNA from 1 species